UUGUUCUGGCAGCACACGUACUAAAAUUGGAAUGAUACAGAGAAGAUUAGCAAUGGCCUCUCCAGGAUGACAUGCAAAGAGAGACUAGGUUCCCAGGAUG
ensembl:snRNA U6 U6 spliceosomal RNA